rnacentral:rRNA from 1 species
AUGGAUUGGGUGCAAGGAGGCGAGUCAAUGGCGCCGGCGCUCGCCGCACCGGGAAUCUCCCCGGCGGCCGACUGCAGAUCCAACCAAGCUGCCGGCGACCCGUCCUCCGCAGUCAGGCCGAUCGAUGGAGGGUUGUCGGGGUCGGAUCUAUCGUGGCGUCCAGCCAUCCAGGAUAUCGCGCGAGUCCCAGACGAAACGCCAUUCUCCAAUGCGCACAUAGGGCUAGUAACGCCUCCGGCCACACUGAAGGGCGCGAAUGCAUGCGCCUACAGCUCAGAUUUUAAUCCAGAUGUACGUGACGAUGAUUCUGGGAACGUUAUAGUUGUGCCUGGAUGGAAGAAACGGAAUGUUGGGGCUAAUGGCCCUGACACGAGGACACCUCCGUCCACAAAGACGGCCAUCGAGCGACGUCUGCUCGAAAUGAAUGAUCGUAGAGGCAGUGAAAUCUUCGAGCCAGUGGUCGGAACCGACUUCGACUCAUGUCAAGAAGCAUAUGAUUUCUACAAUUUGUAUUCGUGGGAGCAUGGAUUCGGCAUUCGGCAUGGCAGAAGCAGAGUUAACACAAACAAGUACAAGUUGAUGCACGAACUUGUUUGUCAAUGUGCGGGCAAGAAUGACAAAGAAAACUCGUCAUCAUGCAAGAUCGAUUGCAAGGCCAUGGUGAGAUUGCUGCGUACCAAGGAUCAUGGAUGGUACGUCAGUAUGUUUGUCAAGGAGCACAACCAUCGUUUGUCGGUUGGAUACGAUGCAAAACUCCAGUGGAAUUCACACGAUUUCAUAGACCCUGUUUCAUUUGACUUCAUCAAGAAUCUUCGAAGCAAUAAUGUCAGUGUUGGCAAGGUUUAUAACAUUUUGUGUGGAGCAGAAUGGAAUUCGCAAGCAGUGCCCUAUAGGAAGCAAGUAUUACGAACACUAUGUGCCAAAUUCUCUCAGGACACAAUAAAAGAUGAUCUAAAAAAAACCAUGAAACUUCUGCAAGAUAUGAAGAUGGAGGACAUGAAUUUGAAGGUUGAGAUAGACGUAGACGGAGAUGGUCGUGUCCGUACAAUGCUAUGGGUAACAGGAAAAAAUCGUCAGGACUAUUUUCACUUUGGUGACGUCAUUACCUUCGACACAACAUACAAGACCAAUUUGUAUAACAUGCCGUUUGCCCUGUUUGUCGGGGUAAACAACCACUUCCAGUCUGUUAUAUUCGGUGGUGCACUAAUGCGAGAGGAAACUGAAGCUGCUUUUAAUUGGCUGUUUAAGACUUUUGUGGCUCUGAUGAAUGACAAGCAUCCCGUGACGAUCCUAACAGAUCAAGCUUUAGCUAUGAAAGGUGCGAUUGAGAGUGCUCUCCCUAACACUAAACACAGAUGGUGUAAAUGGCAUGUCCUCCGGGACGUUAAAGGAAAUAUUGUCCAUGUGUACAACAAGUCUUCUGGGUUCAAGAAGGAAUUCAACAAGCUAGUCAAUGAUGUGAUGUGUGUCGAUGAGUUCGAAUCCAAAUGGUUGUCCCUCGUGAACAGGUUCAAUGUCAGUAUAUGGUCAGACUAUAUGAUAAGAGGGUCAUGUGGGCAAAGCCGUAUUUCAAGGGAAUUUUUUGUGCUGGAAUGA